UUAAAAAGCAUUUUCAGUCCUUGUUUAACAUUAACACGUUGACUGCUAACGCCGACUCUAGUCGGCGUCGCUAGCACUUCAAUGUGGCGCGCGCCGACGAAGGUCGGCACCAGACCAACAGAAAUAGACGUUAUAAUCGUUGCCAGCCUGCCAGCUUAGAAUGCGAGCUUUACUUUGGUGUAGGUUGGUACUAAAAUUUCCCGUAAAAUCCUGUCUGGCAAUGCUUUUGUCCCGGUUUCGGGGAUUUUUUCUCUUCAACCCACAUUACAAAGACACUGGAUACGGAUCCGUGCAGUGCUGCUACCUUUGGGUGUUUCAGUGAACUACAUCCACUCUCGGGGUAACGCAGCACAGUCACCACUGCUCUUUUGUGAUUCGUCAGACUGAAAUAUUUGAAUGCCAAUUGCGUUCGCUGAUUCGGUUGCGUGCCGGGGCUUCGCCCGCCACUGGGAGCGCCUGUACGUUGUUUUCAGCAGUCAUCGUGUUAACUUAUGAUGUGCUGUGGCGGUUAAGUUUUUAUAUUUGGAAAAAAAUACACUUUAAUCAACUUACAGCACUGUUCAAGUUUCAGAGUUACCUAUGGUGACAGAAUAAUACAAGGCAUGUUAUUUAAGUAAGUACUGUUUUUAAAUUUCUCCGUUUCAGUGCUGCGAUUGGCAUUUUGGACAUUUGUGCUGUGUAUGUGGAUGUAUUGGCAAGCCUGCGCUGGAAAUUCGGCACAAAUCGGCUGUGUUUACAUCCGGUUUAGAGCAUUCAAAACGGUGCCGCCAAUUGAGACUGCCGUCGCCUGUGAAGUUUGCGCUGUACCGGAUAUCAUGACAGAAGAAUGCAGAAGGGUUGCUCAGCUCUUAACUUCGCCUUAUAAUCUUUAUUUAUUUCAAUUGUGUUGUAAGAAGUAUUUUUUAAACAGUAAAACUUUCUCCAAUUUAUAGACUACCUAUUAUGAUUCA